rnacentral:tRNA from 2 species
GCCCUUGUAGCUCAAUGGUAGAGCGUUGGUUUUGAUAGCCAAGGGUCGGUGGUUCAAUCCCGUCCAGGCCA